UACAGAGGUCUCAAGCGUUGUUCGGAUUCAUUGGGCGUAAAGGGUGCGUAGGCGGCGCGGUAAGUCGGGUGUGAAAUCUCGGAGCUUAACUCCGAAACUGCAUUCGAUACUGCCGUGCUUGAGGACUGGAGAGGAGACUGGAAUUUACGGUGUAGCGGUGAAAUGCGUAGAUAUCGUAAGGAAGACCAGUGGCGAAGGCGACCAUCUGGACGGAUACUGACGCUGAGACGCGAAAGCGUGGGGAGCAAACAGG
rnacentral:rRNA from 1 species